GGCGCUUUGUUGCCCAGGCAGGCAACAGCUGGGGGGAAACAGUCUUUUCCUGAACAUUCUCCAGGGUGGGGCCACCUCUCCAGGCAGACUCGCAUUUACUAUGCUCCCAAAUUAUAAAACAGAGAAAGCCAAGGUUUCAGGGCUGCCCUCCCCUGAUCCUCAGAAGGAAGGAACACGGGGUGGAGAAGUGUAAAUGACCUCACAGGAUAUCAGGAGAAAGCCUAAGUAAGCGGGUCCUCCAGUGAUUCAUUUGGGUGGACUACUUUCACACCAAGCUACAUUCAAGAGUUCGGAGUGGGGUCAUUUGGGGCCCCUCCCUCCCUGCCAUUUCCUCUUUUCAAAGUACUGGAAGAUUUGGAGUCAAACUCCAUCCAAACAGGAAAUCACCCAGGUUCUAGGUUAAGGGGAGUGGGAGGGGCUCUUAUUUUUUAAAGGGCAAGCUAUUUUUGUGCACCACGUGAGUAUCUUCAGAGCAAGUGCCUACUAUGUGCUGGUUGCUAUGAAUCCAGUUUAUGCCCUGCAGCGAGUAUGCUGAGAAAUGAAAUCCAAACCCCCAGACACACAUCUGGCAAAGCUUACAGAAGAAAGGCUUUUAAGGGUUUGCAUUGUCCCCCCCCAAAAAAAAAAACCCUAAAAAUGGAAAUGAAAGGCUCAAGUCCACCUCUCUUGGGCUCACCAGGAUGUGUAUGAAGAGCCCUGAGCAAGGAAAGUGGGGACAAAGAGGAGGAGCCGGAGGAGAGGAUUGAUGACAAGGUGGAAGGGCAGAGCCGGCAGCAAAGGGAUUGGGAGUUUGGCUGGCAAGCUAUGCCAGAGGCAGGUGCCAGCUAAGAGUGGGCGGAGGUGCGGGCGCCAGGCCAAUCCAGGCAGCGGGGAGGCUCCGCGUUACCUCUGCCUCUAGGAGUCUAGGCGCAAAGACAAGCUCGCCCUGAGUCGCCCCUGCUUUGUCAACUCUGCGUUCCCUCCGCUCCUGCCAGCCCGGGGCACAGGAGUCCCUGCCGCCUGCAGGAGGAGCCGCUGGAUCUGUCUCAGCAGCUGCGGAGAGACAGCAUCCUUGGAAGAGACGCCCCGGGCUACGCAGUCUCUCCAGCCUCCUCCUAGGGGGCGAGAGCUCCUUUGCGCUCCCUCCAGUGAUCGCCCUCUACACGGCCACCAGAGCCAGCACUCCUCCACGGGACCUCCCCACCUGAGCGGUCCCUGGCAGAGGGGGUCACAGGGCAAAGAGACUCAAAUAACAACCGGGUAGCCAGGGAACCCCAACCCUGCCUCUCUACUGGGCAAGAAAAGACGACGCUGUCAACACUGUGAGCUUCCUGCACGCGGUCCCCAAGUUCAGGGAAGACACCCUUCCAGGAAGAGCUAAUCCCCUGUGUGAGCAUUCCAGCCUCCUCCGGACUCCAGGAGCUUCUUCCGUCUGCACCCCAAGUGUUUCCCGGGUGUCCGCUUGGGCCAUGCCCGGGCUGCGCAGGGACCGCCUGCUGGCCCUGCUGCUCCUGGGCGCGCUCUUCUCCGCCGACCUCUACUUCCACCUCUGGCCGCAAGUGCAGCGCCAGCUCCGGCCGGGCGAGCGCCCCGCCGCCUGCCCGUGCUCUGGCCGCGCCCCCUCCGCGUCUCUACACUCAGCCGCAGCCUCCCGAGACCUUGGCACAGCCUCGCACAACUUUUCAGGAGCUUUGCCCCGGGUUGAGCAUCCCAGCCGCGGCCACCCUGCCCCGCGCUCUAAGCUGCAGGCCCUCUUCGCCCACUCGCUCUACCAAGUCCUGGAGGAUCCGCCUCUCCUGGGACCCGAAGACUGGCUCCUGGCCAGCCAGGAGGCGCUGCGGUAUUACCGGAGGAAGGUGGCCCGCUGGAACAGACGGCACAAGAUAUACAAAGAACAAUUCAACCUUACCUCCUUGGAUCCCCCGCUCCAGUUUCGACCAGAGGCCAGCUGGGUCCAGUUCCACUUGGGGAUCAACAGCCACGGGCUGUACUCCAGGUCCAGCCUUGCCAUCAGCAAGCUCCUCCAUGACAUGAGACACUUCCCCACCAUCAGUGCUGAUUACAGCCAGGAUGAAAAAGCCUUGCUAGGGGCCUGUGACUGCUCACAGAUUGUGAAACCCAGUGGGGUCCACCUGAAAUUGGUUCUGAGGUUCUCGGACUUCGGGAAAGCCAUGUUCAAACCCAUGAGACAGCAGCGAGAGGAGGAGACGCCUGAGGACUUCUUCUAUUUCAUAGACUUUCAGAGACACAAUGCUGAGAUCGCAGCUUUCCACCUGGACAGGAUUCUGGACUUCCGACGGGUACCGCCAACAGUAGGGAGGCUAGUGAAUGUCACCAAGGAAAUCCUAGAGGUCACCAAGAACGAGAUCCUACAGAGUGUGUUCUUUGUGUCUCCAGCUAACAACGUGUGCUUCUUCGCCAAGUGUCCGUACAUGUGCAAGACCGAGUACGCUGUCUGUGGCAACCCACACCUGCUGGAAGGCUCCCUCUCCGCCUUCCUGCCAUCCCUCAACCUAGCCCCCAGACUGUCUGUGCCCAACCCCUGGAUCCGUUCCUACUCGCUGUCAGGAAAAGAGGACCCCAGGACUUCUUCUCCCCCUCAGGUGGGAGCUCAACCCCCUUUACUGUGACACAGUCAAGCAGAUCUACCCGUACAACAGCAGCAACAGACUCCUCGGCAUCAUUGACAUGGCCGUCUUUGACUUCCUGAUUGGAAAUAUGGACCGACACCAUUAUGAGAUGUUCACCAAAUUUGGGGAUGAUGGAUACCUUAUUCAUCUUGACAAUGCCAGAGGGUUCGGACGACAUUCCCAGGAUGAAAUCUCUAUCCUCGCCCCUCUAGCGCAGUGUUGCAUGAUCAAAAGGAAAACACUCUUGCACCUUCAGCUGCUGGCUCAGGCUGACUACAGGCUCAGCGACGUGAUGCGGGAGUCACUUCUAGAAGACCAGCUCAGCCCUGUCCUCACAGAACCCCACCUCCUGGCCCUGGACCGCAGACUCCAGAUCAUCCUGAAGACCGUGGAGGACUGCAUAGAGGCCCACGGCGAGCGAAGAGUCAUAGCCGAAGGGUCAGCACAACGUUCGGCUCCAGACUCCGGCCAGGCUAAUCUGACGAGCUAAUGGCAACAAACGUGGGACCUCAGAACACACAACUGGAGUCAGCACCUCAUGCUGGUUUGUAGGCCCCUGUUGCCCCAUUCCAUCCUGGGGCACUGGAGGCCAAGGCACAAGCUCAGGGAGGAGGCAGGAACGCUUUGAAAAAGGCAAACGGGAUCCACUGAACCUCAUCUUUAUCCUUGGGUGGAGGUCACUGCUUUUACGGUGCACUGGCUGGGGCUCUCUCUUCCCAACGAGCUCUGGCUCCAUCAGGACUGCAGAUUAUCUUCUGAGCACACUGUGAAACCUGGAUCUGGACCAGGCUUGGAAGGUUUGGAAGCUCUGUUCCCAGGAGCGGUUUUUAUUCUACCAUAUCAAAUAAAGGGACAUCAAGCGGA